CAAGCUCUUCUUUGAGGUAGGGAGAUCUGGAACCUCUUUGUAUUUUGAAGAAGUCGUCUUUUCUCUCAGAAGCUCAAAUUUUUGUUUUUACAUUCCCUUCUAGGUAUGGCCACACUCAAGCCCCAGAGCCAUCUCAGAGAAGCUGUGGAUCAAAUGGAACUCCCAAACAAUGACCUACCCAGCAAUGAACCUAUACAAGAAAUGUUCAAUCUUUUGUUUUCUGUAGACUGCAAAGUUCCAGUUUCUACACAAAGUACUUAUCAGUUCCUCAAUUGUUAGUGCUUCCAGGCUCCUGAAAUUACUCUGCACUUACUAGAUCUACCUCAAGGCUGAUUCACAACACACUAGGAUUAGGAUCCUACUUGGUCUUUGGGUAUUACUGGAGCAGUCUGUCUUAAAGCCAAACUGUAUGUGAUGAAGUUGAAUCAUCUCCUAUUUGAAAAGUAAAUAGGAAUCCUUAAGUACAACUUUGUGGCCCCUGGCUGUAUUUGAAUUUGACAUCACUGCUGUAAUUCACAUAUUGAGGAACCUCAGCCUUAAAGUCAGGACAAAAUAAGGGCCUUAGCACAGUGCGUGGCACAUAGUAAGCACUUCAUGAUUGCUGAAAAUUAAAUUGAACUAUUCCAAGGCUACAGAUGAAGAAGAGAUCAUCUGUUGACAAAAAUACGUAAAGAACUAUUUCCAGAGAUUUCCCUCCACCA